CCUACGGGCGGCAGCAGUGAGGAAUAUUGGUCAAUGGGCUUACGCCUGAACCAGCCAAGUCGCGUGAGGGAAGAAGGUUUUCGGAUUGUAAACCUCUGUCUUCGGUGACGAAACGAGACGGUAGCCGAGGAGGAAGCCACGGCUAACUACGUGCCAGCAGCCGCGGUAAUACGUAGGUGGCAAGCGUUGUCCGGAAUUACUGGGUGUAAAGGGAGCGUAGGCGGGAAAGCAAGUUGAAUGUUUAAGGUACGGGCUCAACCUGUACAAGCGUUCAAAACUGUUUUUCUUGAGUGGAGUAGAGGUAAGCGGAAUUCCUAGUGUAGCGGUGAAAUGCGUAAAUAUUAGGAGGAACACCAGUGGCGAAGGCGGCUUACUGGGCUUUAACUGACGCUGAGGCUCGAAAGCGUGGGUAGCAAACAGGAUUAGAUACCCGGGUAGUC
rnacentral:rRNA from 1 species